GAAAUGCGAUAAUUAAUGUGAAUUGCAGAAUUCAGUGAAUCAUCGAGUCUUUGAACGCACAUUGCGCCCCCUGGUAUUCCGGGGGGCAUGCCUGUCCGAGCGUCAUUGCUGCCCUCAAGCACGGCUUGCGUGUUGGGCUUCCGUCCCUGGCAACGGGGACGGGCCCAAAAGGCAGUGGCGGCACCAUGUCUGGUCCUCGAGCGUAUGGGGCUUUGUCACCCGCUCCCGUAGGUCCAGCUGGCAGCUAGCCUCGCAACCAAUCUUUUUAACCAGGUUGACCUCGGAUCAGGUAGGGAUACCCGCUGAACUUAAGC
rnacentral:misc_RNA from 1 species